rnacentral:rRNA from 1 species
GACGAACGCUGGCGGCGUGCUUAACACAUGCAAGUCGAACGCUGAAGCCCUUCGGGGUGGAUGAGUGGCGAACGGGUGAGUAACACGUGGGUAAUCUGCCCCGCACUCUGGGAUAAGCCUUGGAAACGGGGUCUAAUACCGGAUAGGACACAUCGCCGCAUGGUGUGUGUGUGGAAAGUUCCGGCGGUGCAGGUUGAGCCCGCGGCCUAUCAGCUUGUUGGUGGGGUGAUGGCCUACCAAGGCGACGACGGGUAGCCGGCCUGAGAGGGUGACCGGCCACACUGGGACUGAGACACGGCCCAGACUCCUACGGGGGGCAGCAGUGGGGAAUCUUGCGCAAUGGGCGAAAGCCUGACGCAGCAACGCCGCGUGGGGGAUGACGGCCUUCGGGUUGUAAACCUCUUUCGACCGGGACGAAGGAUUCGUUUGACGGUACCGGUAGAAGAAGCACCGGCUAACUACGUGCCAGCAGCCGCCGUAA